rnacentral:rRNA from 1 species
GAUGAACGCUGGCGGCGUGCUUAACACAUGCAAGUCGAACGGAAAGGCUCCUGCUUGCAGGGGUACUCGAGUGGCGAACGGGUGAGUAACACGUGGGUGAUCUGCCCUGCACUUCGGGAUAAGCCUGGGAAACUGGGUCUAAUACCGGAUAGGACGAUGGUUUGGAUGCCAUUGUGGAAAGUUUUUCGGUGUGGGAUGAGCUCGCGGCCUAUCAGCUUGUUGGUGGGGUAAUGGCCUACCAAGGCGUCGACGGGUAGCCGGCCUGAGAGGGUGUACGGCCACAUUGGGACUGAGAUACGGCCCAGACUCCUACGGGAGGCAGCAGUGGGGAAGAUUGCACAAUGGGCGCAAGCCUGAUGCAGCGACGCCGCGGGGGGGAUGACGGCCUUCGGGUUGAAAACUCCUUUCGCUAGGGACGAAGCGUUUUGUGACGGUACCUGGAGAAGAAGCACCGGCUAACUACGUG